UUUUUUUUAAUUCAGUUUUUCUUGGCAGAGCAGCUAAGAUUUCUUUUUGUCAAAAGGGUAGCCAUUAAGAAAAUCACUUAGCUAAUAAACAAGGAAAUUAGCUAGCAAGCCUUGAUAAGAGGCAGAGUCGCAGCACUAACAGCAAUCUGUACACGCAAAUUAAGGCAGUAAAGAGUUGCUCUGAUAAGCACUUUUAAACUCUCAGUGGUAGUCAAAAAACUGAGUGUCGCUAGUACUUGGGGGUCAAGCAGCAGUUGGACAAUUUUUUUCUUGUCUCACUUGGCUGCCACAACAAUUUCAAUAGUAUUGAAGUAUUGAGUUCGAUGGAAGGAUGUGCAGAGAAAGAGGGCGGUAGACAGAGGAAAGGGAAAACCUAUCAGGCGAUGUAACUCCUCUUCCUUUCUAACCACUUUUCUAUUCUUUUAUUUUUCCCUGUUUGAGGAACUGGCUGACGUCUGUUUAAUUUUGUGAAGAGCCACAGGACCUACAAGAAUUAACACAGUGGAAAUGUGAACCUGGGCCUCUCGUGAAAAAUGGUGUCAGAUUAGGAAGCACAUGGUUAUUAAGCAAAAACUCAACAUCAGUAUUUUCAUGGUUACACUUUACACGUUCAAUUGAUAUGUAUUUUUAAAGCUGAUUAUCUUUAUCUUUAAUAAUUUAUUAAUUUAUAUAAUAAUUCUUUGGUGAGGAAUAACUGGACUAAAUAAUUGUAAAUUUCACUAAAUUUCGUGUUUAAUCAAAAAUGUCUUCAGUUUUCUACAAAAGUCAAAUUUUUAGGCCAAGUUUCCAUUGGAAGUACUACAAAUUAAGAAGAAUCUGCUAAUGUAAUAAUACUAAUAUCUUCUCUCUGACGUUAAGUAGGACAGAAAAAUCCCCCUAAUCUAAUCACUUCUUAUAAAAUGCUUGUAAUGCUUUGCUCAAUCCUGGAUUUAAGAAUUCCUCCGUUUAGUUGGUUGAAAAUAUAUCCAAAUCCAAAUUAGUUAAGAACCUACCUCUGUCAACUCAUUCCAGGAAAAUAGUCAUUUCCACCUGCCAAAUCGCACCUCUGCUUCAGGGGGGGGUCAUUCCUGGCCUUUAUUAAGGUGAGUAUCCUGUCUCCACUCCCAUCUUCAUGGGAUCUGUUGAUCAUAGGCAGUCCUCAUGACCCUCAAUAUACCAGAAAUAGAAUAUAACCAGUAACAGUAAAACACGUUUAAACGGUCUUUUAAACCAGCCUUAUAAAAAAGAAAGUUAAGAGUCUGAAGGACUAACUGGCCAAGGAUAAAUUAAACCAUUUUGAGGAUGUUAUAAAUUCAAAAGUGUUAGAUAAGUAAUAAAUUUUAUUUAAAAUUCCUCAAUAGAGAUCAGUGAAUGAUGAUGUUUAAUAAAUUUUUUAAAAAGAAAGAAAUUUGCAUUUAAUUUGGUAAACUAGGAAGUCUCAGGUAAAUACAACGACAUAUAGUCAAUAUGUUUCACAUACUGCUGAAUUUAAGUUUUUAAUUCUUUUUUUUAAGUUUUUAAUUCUUAAUGUAAAAAUAAUCUACUCUGUGAUCAAUUUACAAAAUUCAUGAAUUUAUUUUGUAUAUAAGUCUAGGAUAAAAUUGUUGCUAUAAUUAACACAUUUGAUAUUUCCAAAAUGUUUAAAAAUCUUUUAUUAGUUCAAAUGAGAAAAGAUAUUACUCUAUCACUGAAUCUGACCUUUAAAAUAAAAUCAGUAUUUACUAUACUUAAUCUACUUAAAUAUAUUAUAUAUAUAUAAUAUGUUUAAAAUACUGCAUUGAACCAGCAACAACUGUUUUGAAGAUUUUGCAGUAAUUUCAAAGUUUUAAAAAUUUCCACGUACAAAAAGAUUUUGACUUAAAUAUUAAAAAUGAAAAAGUAGGGGCAGUCCCAGUGGCUCAAUGGUUUAGCGCCGCCGUCAGCCCAGGGUAUGAUCCUGGAGACCCGGGAUCAAGUUCCGUAUCGGGCUCCCUGCAUGGAGCCUGCUUCUCCCUCUGC
rnacentral:lncRNA from 1 species